rnacentral:rRNA from 1 species
UACGGAGGGGGCGAGCGUUAUUCGGAAUUAUUGGGCGUAAAGGGCGCGUAGGCGGCUGGGCAAGUCAAAGGUGAAAGCCCCCGGCUCAACUGGGGAGGGUCACUCGAUACUGAUCGACUCGAAGGCAGGAGAGGGAAGCGGAAUUCCCGGUGUAGUGGUGAAAUGCGUAGAUAUCGGGAGGAACACCAGUGGCGAAGGCGGCUUUCUGGCCUGUUCUUGACGCUGAGGCGCGAAAGCUAGGGUAGCAAACGGG